CCAGAAUACUUGCUAGGGGAUACAAGAAUGUGGGACAUUGGAGGUGAUUCUUUUGAUACUAUGGAGGGUACUGUUGGUGUACUUGAAGUUGCUGAUCUUUCUCUUAAUGAGCCAGAGAUGGAACGCAUGAUAUUGGAUGAUAAUGAAGCUAAUGUGGAGGAGCUAUACCCCCUGGUUUGACUGUUGACGUUAUUUUUUGGUGACCAGCUGGAUCCUGGAUGUAGCGGCAUUCACAUCAUACUUGGAGGAUCCUUGUUUUUUGGGCUAGUAUUUGGUUCAUGAAGUUGCGCUGUUGCGGGAAGGACUUCACUCCCCUUUGCGAAGCCUUCUAAUUUUUUGUUGAUAUGUAUAUAUAUAGACUAGUAAAUGUCGCGGAAAGGACUUUACUCCCUUUUGCAAAGCCUUCUAAUUUUUUGUUGAUAUGUAUAUAUAGACUAGUAAAUGUCUAUAUAACCUUUUGUUGAUAAUGGAUAUCUAUGUUCUCCUGGAA